rnacentral:misc_RNA from 1 species
AACAACAACAACUACUGUACUAGCCAGCCUGUGUUUAGCCUAACAAAUCCCAAUAUUUUUAUACCAUUUACUUUGAUUGACACAAACGAAACUCACCCAGAAAUGGAGACUUGUUCUUCUGCCAAUUCUGAAGAUAUCUUCAGGAACUCUUCUUCUUCCUCUUCUUCGAGUUCGGGAAGUAGCGGCGGCGGCGGCAGUAGAAAUGGCAACUCAAGAAGAUAUGGGAUCAAUAUAUCAGCAUCGAAUUUGAUACAUGCUCCAUUGACGAC